UACGGGGGGGAGCAAGCGUUGUUCGGAUUUACUGGGCGUAAAGGGCGCGUAGGCGGCCAGCACAAGUCAGUUGUGAAAUCUCCGAGCUUAACUCGGAAAGGUCAACUGAUACUGUGCGGCUAGAGUGCAGAAGGGGCAACUGGAAUUCUUGGUGUAGCGGUGAAAUGCGUAGAUAUCAAGAGGAACACCUGCGGCGAAGGCGGGUUGCUGGGCUGACACUGACGCUGAGGCGCGAAAGCUAGGGGAGCGAACGGG
rnacentral:rRNA from 1 species